UGAAAAUAUCUGCAGAGGUUUUCUUCAACAAGAACUGAUGACCGAAAUUGAAAGUUUAUAAUCUAUGAAUGAUACAAUGCUUCCAAGAAAACAAUUUAGAAAACUAAUUUGGAUGAUGUUGAUGGACUCGCUCUGCACAAAUUCAAGUCCGUUCUCCUCGACAUUCAGCUCAGAGAUACAAAAAAAUACUAUAGACUAUAACGGGCA
rnacentral:lncRNA from 1 species